rnacentral:rRNA from 1 species
CCUACGGGAGGCAGCAGUGGGGAAUAUUGCACAAUGGGCGCAAGCCUGAUGCAGCGACGCCGCGUGAGGGAUGACGGCCUUCGGGUUGUAAACCUCUUUCAGUAGGGAAGAAGCGAAAGUGACGGUACCUGCAGAAGAAGCGCCGGCUAACUACGUGCCAGCAGCCGCGGUAAUACGUAGGGCGCAAGCGUUAUCCGGAAUUAUUGGGCGUAAAGAGCUCGUAGGCGGUUUGUCGCGUCUGCCGUGAAAGUCCGGGGCUCAACUCCGGAUCUGCGGUGGGUACGGGCAGACUAGAGUGAUGUAGGGGGGACUGGAAUUCCUGGUGUAGCGGUGAAAUGCGCAGAUAUCAGGAGGAACACCGAUGGCGAAGGCGGGUCUCUGGGCAUUAACUGACGCUGAGGAGCGAAAGCAUGGGGAGCGAACAGGAUUAGAUACCCUGAUAGUCCAUGCCGUAAACGUUGGGCACUAGGUGUGGGGGACAUUCCACGUUUUCCGCGCCGUAGCUAACGCAUUAAGUGCCCCGCCUGGGGAGUACGGCCGCAAGGCUAAAACUCAAAGGAAUUGACGGGGGCCCGCACAAGCGGCGGAGCAUGCGGAUUAAUUCGAUGCAACGCGAAGAACCUUAC